CUUUUUCKCGAAAAUUMRGGUUUUAACGCGAAARGACCUUACCAGCUCUUGACAUUCGGGGUAUGGUCAUUGGAGACGAUGACCUUCAGUUCGGCUGGCCCUAGAACAGGUGCUGCAUGGCUGUCGUCAGCUCGUGUCGUGAGAUGUUGGGUUAAGUCCCGCAACGAGCGCAACCCUCGCCCUUAGUUGCCAGCAUUUAGUUGGGCACUCUAAGGGGACUGCCGGUGAUAAGCCGAGAGGAAGGUGGGGAUGACGUCAAGUCCUCAUGGCCCUUACGGGCUGGGCUACACACGUGCUACAAUGGUGGUGACAGUGGGCAGCGAGACAGCGAUGUCGAG
rnacentral:rRNA from 1 species